CCUACGGGACGCAGCAGUGGGGAAUAUUGGACAAUGGGGGAAACCCUGAUCCAGCGACGCCGCGUGAGUGAAGAAGGAUUUCGGUACGUAAAGCUCUAUCAGCAGGGAAGAAAAUGCCGGUAACUGACUAAGAAGCGCCGGCUAAAUACGUGCCAGCAGCCGCGGUAAUACGUAGGGGGCAAGCGUUAUCCGGAUUUACUGGGUGUAAAGGGAGCGAAGACGGCCGCGCAAGUCUAGAGGUAAAUGACGGGGACCACCCCCGGACCUGCUCUGUAAACUGUGAAGCUGGAGGGAAGGAGAGGUAAGCGGAAUUCCUGGUGUAGCGGUGAAAUGCGUAGAUAGCA
rnacentral:rRNA from 1 species